UGAUUAAUAGGGAUAGUCGGGGGCGUCAGUAUUCAGCUGUCAGAGGUGAAAUUCUUGGAUUUGCUGAAGACUAACUACUGCGAAAGCAUUCGCCAAGGAUGUUUUCAUUAAUCAGGGAACGAAAGUUAGGGGAUCGAAGACGAUCAGAUACCGUCGUAGUCUUAACCAUAAACUAUGCCGACUAGGGAUCGGGCGGCGUUUCUAUGAUGACCCGCUCGGCACCUUACGAGAAAUCAAAGUUUUUGGGUUCUGGGGGGAGUAUGGUCGCAAGGCUGAAACUUAAAGAAAUUGACGGAAGGGCACCACAAGGCGUGGAGC
rnacentral:rRNA from 1 species